GGCGGCACUAGCGCGGUGGUCCCACCUGACCCCAUGCCGAACUCAGAAGUGAAACGCCGUAGCGCCGAUGGUAGUGUGGGGUCUCCCCAUGCGAGAGUAGGGA
rnacentral:rRNA from 1 species